rnacentral:rRNA from 1 species
GCUGGCAGCUAGCUCUCUGCAACUCUCACAUGGUCGCCAAGUGAAGCUAAGCAGAGCUGCACCUGCUUAGUUCCUGGAUGGGAGACCACAUGGGAAAGCUAGGUUGCUGCCGGAA